CUACUGGAAACGGUGGCUAAUACCGCAUAACGUCGCAAGACCAAAGAGGGGGACCUUCGGGCCUCUUGCCAUCAGAUGUGCCCAGAUGGGAUUAGCUAGUUGGUGAGGUAACGGCUCACCAAGGCGACGAUCCCUAGCUGGUCUGAGAGGAUGACCAGCCACACUGGAACUGAGACACGGUCCAGACUCCUACGGGAGGCAGCAGUGGGGAAUAUUGCACAAUGGGCGCAAGCCUGAUGCAGCCAUGC
rnacentral:rRNA from 2 species